rnacentral:rRNA from 1 species
UACGGAGGGUGCAAGCGUUAAUCGGAAUUACUGGGCGUAAAGGGCACGCAGGCGGGUUGUUAAGUGAGAUGUGAAAUCCCCGGGCUUAACCUGGGAACAGCAUUUGAUACUGGCAGGCUAGAGUCCUGUAGGGGGGGGUAGAAUUCCAGGUGUAGCGGUGAAAUGCGUAGAGAUAUGGAGGAAUACCGGUGGCGAAGGCGGCCCCCUGGAAAUAGACUGACGCUCAGGUGCGAAAGCGUGGGGAGCAAACAGG